UAGCUUAGCUGGUAAAGAAUCUGCCUGCAAUGCAGGAGACCCGGGUUCGAAUCCUGG
rnacentral:tRNA from 1 species